GUCGCGAGUUGCGAGGACUGUGAGCGAGAUCGUGGCUCCUACCGCGUCCUGUGGACUCGCCCGUAGGUGUGAAAAUGAUGUUCAUCUCAUGCGAGACCCCCCUCCCACCCCUUUCGGAGAUUGGAAUGGACUCGUCCAGCCGGCGGUUCCCCCACCUUACGGAUUCACAGCUCUUGCCAUAUAUGGGCAUAAAACGAAAGCGGCUCGCUGAUUGGUCGCUCAACCGGCUGCCGGCUAGAUUCUCCAAAUGCCGCUUCAAACUAUACGAUACGGGGAGUAUAAUGCCUUCUGGAUGCGUACACACUAGUACGUAAGGGUUCCCCGCCUGACUGACUAACCGUUCUAAGAAUGUGUACGAAAGGAGAGUACUCUCCCAAUGGUAGGUACAGGGUGAGUCAUGAGAAAUAGUCAGAAGUUUUCGUGAGACUGCGCUUUCCUUUGACUUCAAAAUGUUGUUCACACGAUUAGCAAUGCUCCAUGACAGAGAACACCUCGAACUUAUUCAUUUCAUAAUGUAUAAGUCAAAUAUCCAUGUAUGUAUAUAGAUAUUAGUAUCUUUCUCUUUAAUGUGAGAGUGUUCUUGACGUAUUUUAAUCGCAUUUUACCAUUUAAAUAUAUUAUAGGCUUGAGUGCAAGGGAGAACAAAAAAAAAAAAAAA